rnacentral:lncRNA from 1 species
AAAGACGCUUCUCUACUUUCAGAAGCUGUGACACUCCAAUAGUUCCACAUUGGAUAAUUAUGGUUAGAUGCGGAAGUAUAUAAGCUUGAUUGGAUUAGAUAUAACAACUGAACUUAAGCAUUUUGGGCUGUUGAUUUGGGCUCAACGAAUUAUUAUUGCUAGCGGGUCGAAUCGUUACAUAUUUAUUUUUCUUGUUAUACCGAGAAACAU